rnacentral:rRNA from 1 species
UGGGGGAUAUUGCACAAUGGGGGGAACCCUGAUGCAGCGACGCCGCGUGGGUGAAGGAGCGUUUCGGCGCGUAAAGCCCUAUCGGCAGGGAAGAAGAUGACGGUACCUGACCAAGAAGCCCCGGCUAACUACGUGCC